CAAUAGCGUAUAUUAAAGUUGUUGCGGUUAAAAAGCUCGUAGUUGGAGUUCUGCCAGGUGCCGCCUGUCCGCCCCAGUGGUGAGUACGUGGCGCGCAUUUGGCCCUUUCAAGGGGAGCGUAUCUGCACUUUAUUGUGUGGUGCGGGAUCCUUGACUUUUACUUUGAGGAAAUAGGAGUGUUCCAAGCAGGCUCUCGUCGUGCACAGCUCAGCAUGGAAUAAUAGCAUUGGACCUCGAUUCUAAGCUGUUGGUUGCCAGAAGCGAGGUAAUGAUGAAGAGGGAUAGUUGGGGGCAUUCGUAUUUAACUGUCAGAGGUGAAAUUCUUGGAUUUGUUAAAGACGGACUAUUGCGAAAGCAUCUGCCAUGGAUGUUUUCAUUGA
rnacentral:rRNA from 1 species